rnacentral:rRNA from 1 species
CCGCCCCGCGAGGGACGGCGCGCCCCGGGGCUCGUGAUAUCUUAUCUCGCCGCCCGUCGCGAGGCGGACGGAGGGAUGGAUGAAGGUUACCUGGAAAAAAUCGGGGCGAUCUAGGCGGGCGAACCUCGCCAACGAACGAUCGGACAUGGGAUAACGGAAGAGGGCGUCGGCUCGACUUCGUCGGUUCCUCGGGCCGAGGCACGUACGGUGAAUAGGGACGGUCGGGGCCGCCCGUACCGGGUCGUGAGAGGUGAAAUUCUAGGAUCGACCCGAGACGAACUGCCGCGAAAGCAUUCGGCAAGGACGCUUUCAUUAAUCAAGAACGAAAAGUCGGGGGAUCGAAGACGAUCAGAUACCGUCGUAGUCCCGACCGUAAACGAUGCCGACCGAGGGCCCGGAGGAGUUACGUACGACCCCUCCGGGCCCUCCCGCGAGAAAUCAGGAGUAUUCGGGUUCCGGGG